rnacentral:rRNA from 1 species
GACAGAGGGUGCAAACGUUGCUCGGAAUUACUGGGCGUAAAGCGCGUGUAGGCGGGUCGGUGUGUCGGGUGUGAAAUCCCCAGGCUCAACCUGGGAACUGCAUUCGAAACUACCGGUCUAGAGUGGUGGAGAGGGAAGUGGAAUUCCUGGUGUAGAGGUGAAAUUCGUAGAUAUCAGGAGGAACACCAGUGGCGAAGGCGGCUUCCUGGACACCAACUGACGCUGAGACGCGAAAGCGUGGGGAGCAAACAGG